rnacentral:rRNA from 1 species
CUACCUUUCGGUCGCCGCCCCGCCCAUUCCCCGUUACCCGGGGCGCCGAUGGCGAGCCAAGUUCCUUUGAUCGUCCCUUACUACUUGGAUAACCGUAGUAAUUCUAGAGCUAAUACAUGCGUCAAUACCCCUGUGGGGUAGUAUUUAUUAGAUUGAAACCAACCCCUUCGGGGUGAUGUGGUGAUUCAUAAUAAGCUUGUGGAUCGCAUGGCUUCUGCCGGCGAUGGAUCUUUCAAGUUUCUGCCCUAUCACCUUUGGAUGGUAGGGUAUUGGCCUACCAUGGCUUCAACGGGUAACGGGAAAUGGGGCGGGGGCGGCGGGCCGGGCGCGGGGCGCGCCGGGCGAAA